rnacentral:rRNA from 1 species
AGAGCGAACGCUGGCGGCAGGCCUAAUACAUGCAAGUCGAACGGACCCUUCGGGGUUAGUGGCGGACGGGUGAGUAACACGUGGGAACGUGCCCUUUGGUUCGGAACAACUCAGGGAAACUUGAGCUAAUACCGAAUGUGCCCCCAUCCUUAAACAAGAUGGGUGGGAAAGAUUUAUCGCCAUUGGAGCGGCCCGCGUCUGAUUAGCUAGUUGGUGAGGUAAAGGCUCACCAAGGCGACGAUCAGUAGCUGGUCUGAGAGGAUGAUCAGCCACACUGGGACUGAGACACGGCCCAGACUCCUACGGGAGGCAGCAGUAGGGAAUCUUGCGCAAUGGGCGAAAGCCUGACGCAGCCAUGCCGCGUGAAUGAUGAAGGUCUUAGGAUUGUAAAAUUCUUUCAGCGGGGACGAUAAUGACGGUACCCGCAGAAGAACGCCCCGGCUAACUUCGCGCCAGCAGCCGC